GUGCUCACUUCAGCAGCACAUAUACUAAAAUUGGAACAAUAUAGAGAAGAUUAGCAUAGCCCCUGCACAAGAAUAACACACAAAUUUGGGAAGUGUUUCAUUAAAAA